GAUGAACGCUGGCGGCGCGCCUAACACAUGCAAGUCGAACGAUUAAAGCACCUUCGGGUGUGUAUAAAGUGGCGAACGGCUGAGUAACACGUGGGCAACCUGCCCCUCUCAUUGGGAUAGCCACGGGAAACCGUGGAUAAUACCGAAUACUUCGAGUCUCCCGCAUGGAAGACUCGAGAAAGCUCCGGCGGAGAGGGAUGGGCCCGCGGCCUGUUAGCUUGUUGGUGGGUAACGGCCUACCAAGGCAAUGAUGGGUAGCUGGGUUGAGAGACCGACCAGCCAGAUUGGGACUGAGACACGGCCCAGACUCCUACGAGAGGCAGCAGUGGGGAAUCUUGCACAAUGGGCGAAAGCCUGAUGCAGCGACGCCGCGUGCGGGAUGAAGGCCUUCGGGUUGUAAACCGCUUUCAGCAGGGACGAGGCGAAAGUGACGGUACCUGCAGAAGA
rnacentral:rRNA from 2 species